GAUGAACGCUGGCGGCGUGCCUAAUACAUGCAAGUCGAGCGAACGGACGAGAAGCUUGCUUCUCUGAUGUUAGCGGCGGACGGGUGAGUAACACGUGGAUAACCUACCUAUAAGACUGGGAUAACUUCGGGAAACCGUAGCUAAUACCGGAUAAUAUUUUGAACCGCAUGGUUCAAAAGUGAAAGACGGUCUUGCUGUCACUUAUAGAUGGAUCCGCGCUGCAUUAGCUAGUUGGUAAGGUAACGACUUACCAAGGCAACGAUGCAUAGCCGACCUGAGAGGGUGAUCGGCCACACAUGAACUGAGACACGGUCCAGACGCCUACGGGAGGCAGCGGUAGGGAAUCUUCCGCAAUGGGCGAAAGCCUGACGGAGCAACGCCGCGUGAGUGAUGAAGGUCUUCGGAUCGUAAAACUCUGUUAUUAGGGAAGAACAUAUGUGUAAGUAACUGUGCACAUCUUGACGGUACCUAAUCAGAAAGCCACGGCUAACUACGUG
rnacentral:rRNA from 1 species